rnacentral:rRNA from 2 species
CGCGGCAAGACGGAAAGACCCCGUGAACCUUUACUAUAGCUUGACACUGAACAUUGAGCCUUGAUGUGUAGGAUAGGUGGGAGGCUUUGAAGCGUGGACGCCAGUCUGCGUGGAGCCGACCUUGAAAUACCACCCUUUAAUGUUUGAUGUUCUAACGUGGAUCCGUAAUCCGGGUUGCGGACAGUGUCUGGUGGGUAGUUUGACUGGGGCGGUCUCCUCCUAAAGAGUAACGGAGGAGCACGAAGGUUGGCUAAUCCUGGUCGGACAUCAGGAGGUUAGUGCAAUGGCAUAAGCCAGCUUGACUGCGAGCGUGACGGCGCGAGCAGGUGCGAAAGCAGGUCAUAGUGAUCCGGUGGUUCUGAAUGGAAGGGCCAUCGCUCAACGGAUAAAAGGUACUCCGGGGAUAACAGGCUGAUACCGCCCAAGAGUUCAUAUCGACGGCGGUGUUUGGCACCUCGAUGUCGGCUCAUCACAUCCUGGGGCUGAAGUAGGUCCCAAGGGUAUGGCUGUUCGCCAUUUAAAGUGGUACGCGAGCUGGGUUUAGAACGUCGUGAGACAGUUCGGUCCCUAUCUGCCGUGGGCGCUGGAGAACUGAGGGGGGCUGCUCCUAGUACGAGAGGACCGGAGUGGACGCAUCACUGGUGUUCGGGUUGUCAUGCCAAUGGCACUGCCCGGUAGCUAAAUGCGGAAGAGAUAAGUGCUGAAAGCAUCUAAGCACGAAACUUGCCCCGAGAUGAGUUCUCCCUGAGACUUAGAGUCUCCUGAAGGAACGUUGAAGACGACGACGUUGAUAGGCCGGGUGUGUAAGCGCAGCGAUGCGUUGAGCUAACCGGUACUAAUGAACCGUGAGGCUUAACCUUACAACGCCGAAG